AGUUUGAUCCUGGCUCAGGAUGAACGCUAGCUACAGGCUUAACACAUGCAAGUCGAGGGGCAGCAUGAACUUAGCUUGCUAAGUUUGAUGGCGACCGGCGCACGGGUGAGUAACACGUAUCCAACCUGCCGAUGACUCGGGGAUAGCCUUUCGAAAGAAAGAUUAAUACCCGAUGGCAUAGUUCUUCCGCAUGGUGGAACUAUUAAAGGAUUUCGGUCAUCGAUGGGGAUGCGUUCCAUUAGGUUGUUGGCGGGGUAACGGCCCACCAAGCCUUCGAUGGAUAGGGGUUCUGAGAGGAAGGUCCCCCACAUUGGAACUGAGACACGGUCCAAACUCCUACGGGAGGCAGCAGUGAGGAAUAUUGGUCAAUGGACGAGAGUCUGAACCAGCCAAGUAGCGUGAAGGAUGACUGCCCUAUGGGUUGUAAACUUCUUUUAUACGGGAAUAAAGUGAGGCACGUGUGCCUUUUUGUAUGUACCGUAUGAAUAAGGAUCGGCUAACUCCGUGCCAGCAGCCGCGGUAAUACGGAGGAUCCGAGCGUUAUCCGGAUUUAUUGGGUUUAAAGGGAGCGUAGGCGGACGCUUAAGUCAGUUGUGAAAGUUUGCGGCUCAACCGUAAAAUUGCAGUUGAUACUGGGUGUCUUGAGUACAGUAGAGGCAGGCGGAAUUCGUGGUGUAGCGGUGAAAUGCUUAGAUAUCACGAAGAACUCCGAUUGCGAAGGCAGCCUGCUGGACUGUAACUGACGCUGAUGCUCGAAAGUGUGGGUAUCAAACAGGAUUAGAUACCCUGGUAGUCCACACAGUAAACGAUGAAUACUCGCUGUUUGCGAUAUACAGUAAGCGGCCAAGCGAAAGCGUUAAGUAUUCCACCUGGGGAGUACGCCGGCAACGGUGAAACUCAAAGGAAUUGACGGGGGCCCGCACAAGCGGAGGAACAUGUGGUUUAAUUCGAUGAUACGCGAGGAACCUUACCCGGGCUUGAAUUGCAACUGAAUGAUGUGGAGACAUGUCAGCCGCAAGGCAGUUGUGAAGGUGCUGCAUGGUUGUCGUCAGCUCGUGCCGUGAGGUGUCGGCUUAAGUGCCAUAACGAGCGCAACCCUUAUCGAUAGUUACCAUCAGGUGAUGCUGGGGACUCUGUCGAGACUGCCGUCGUAAGAUGUGAGGAAGGUGG
rnacentral:rRNA from 1 species